rnacentral:rRNA from 1 species
UACGUAGGGUGCGAGCGUUGUCCGGAUUUACUGGGCGUAAAGGGCUCGUAGGUGGUGUGUCGCGUCGGCUGUGUAAUCCAGGGGCUUAACUUUUGGUUGGCAGGCGAUACGGGCAUUGCUUGAGUGCUGUAGGGGAGACUGGAAUUCCUGGUGUAGCGGUGAAAUGCGCAGAUAUCAGGAGGAACACCGAUGGCGAAGGCAGGUCUCUGGGCAGUUACUGACGCUGAGGAGCGAGAGCAUGGGUAGCGAACAGG